GGAAAGAAACCACCAGGGAUUGCCCUAGUAACGGCGAGUGAAGCGGCAACAGCUCAAAUUUGAAAUCUGGCUUCGGCCCGAGUUGUAAUUUGCAGAGGAUGUUUCUGGCGCGGUGCCUUCCGAGUUCCCUGGAACGGGACGCCACAGAGGGUGAGAGCCCCGUAUGGUUGGACACCAAGCCUGUGUGAAACUCCUUCGACGAGUCGAGUAGUUUGGGAAUGCUGCUCAAAAUGGGAGGUAAAUCUCUUCUAAAGCUAAAUACCGGCCAGAGACCGAUAGCGCACAAGUAGAGUGAUCGAAAGAUGAAAAGCACCUUGAAAAGGGGGUUAAACAGUACGUGAAAUUGUUGAAAGGGAAGCGCUUGUGACCAGACUUGUGCCGGGCGGUUCAUCCGGGGUUCUCCCCGGUGCACUCCGCCCGGCUCAGGCCAGCAUCGGUUCUCGUUGGGGGAUAAGAACGGUAGGAACGUGGCCCUCCUUCGGGUGGGUGUUAUAGCCUGCCGUACGAUACCCUGACGGGGACCGAGGUUCGCGCUCCGCAAGGAUGCUGGCGUAAUGGUCAUCAGCGACCCGUCUUGAAACACGGACCAAGGAGUCGUCCAUUAGAGCGAGCGUUUGGGUGUCAAACCCGCACGCGUAAUGAAAGUGAAAUUAGGUGAGAGCUUCGGCGCAUCAUCGACCGAUCCUGAUGUUCUCGGAUGGAUUUGAGUAAGAGUUUUAACGGACGGACCCGAAAGACAGUGAACUAUGCUUGUAUAGGGUGAAGCCAGAGGAAACUCUGGUGGAGGCUCGCAGCGGUUCUGACGUGCAAAUCGAUCGUCAAAUAUGAG
rnacentral:rRNA from 1 species